rnacentral:rRNA from 1 species
UACAGAGGUCUCAAGCGUUGUUCGGAUUCAUUGGGCGUAAAGGGUGCGUAGGCGGCGCGGUAAGUCGGGUGUGAAAUCUCGGAGCUUAACUCCGAACUGUCAUUCGAUACUGCCGUGCUUGAGGACUGGAGAGGAGACUGGAAUUUACGGUGUAGCGGUGAAAUGCGUAGAUAUCGUAAGGAAGACCAGUGGCGAAGGCGGGUCUCUGGACAGUUCCUGACGCUGAGGCACGAAGGUCAGGGGAGCAAACGGG